AUCCAACUGACGAGUCCCAAAUAUGAUGUAACGCGCAUCCUGGAU
rnacentral:hammerhead_ribozyme from 1 species